AGCAGCCGCGGUAAUUCCAGCUCCAAUAGCGUAUAUUAAAGCUGUUGCAGUUAAAAAGCUCGUAGUUGAAUUUCGGGAUCAAUAUGUUGGUCGUGCCUCGGUACGUACUAGCUUAUUGGUUUCUCCUUUCUGAAGAACCAUGAUGUCAUUUAUUUGGUGUCGUGGGGAAUCAGGACUGUUACUUUGAAAAAAUUAGAGUGUUUAAAGCAGGCUCACGCUUGAAUACAUUAGCAUGGAAUAAUGAAAUAGGACGUUUGAUUCUAUUUUGUUGGUUUCUAGGAUCGACGUAAUGAUUAAUAGGGAUAGUUGGGGGCAUUAGUAUUCAAUUGUCAGAGGUGAAAUUCUUGGAUUUAUUGAAGACUAACUACUGCGAAAGCAUUUGCCAAGGAUGUUUUCAUUAAUCAAGAACGAAAGUUAGGGGAUCGAAGACGAUCAGAUACCGUCGUAGUCUUAACCAUAAACUAUGCCGACUAGGGAUCGGAUGAUGUUGAUUUUUAAUGACUUCAUUCGGACCG
rnacentral:misc_RNA from 1 species